rnacentral:rRNA from 1 species
ACUAUUACUAGCCUUACAGCAAAACUAAAUAAAAAUACUCAUUUAAUAAAUCAAACCAUUUAGCACAUGACAGCUACUAGUAUAGGUGAUAGAAAAUAGGAACAAGUACAUAAGAGCUAUAGAGAAAGUACCGUAAGGGAAAGAUGAAAGACUGAAAAAAGUAUAAAGAAGCAAAGAUUAACCCUUGUACCUUUUGCAUAAUGAAUUAACUAGAAAUAACGUGGUAAAAAGAAUUACAAUCACAAAUCCCGAAACCAGACGAGCUACCCCUGAACAGCAUAUUAGAGCCAACUCAUCUAUGUAGCAAAAUAGUGAGAAGAUUUGCGGGUAGUGGUGAAAAACCAAUCGAGCCUGGUGAUAGCUGGUUACCCAUCAACGAAUUUUAGUUCUACUUAAAACAUGCCAAUAAAUACCUAAUAAAUUAAAUGUAUGUUUUAAUGUUAUUUUAAAAAGGUACAGCUUUUUAAAUUAAGGAUACAACCUUUAUUGGAGAGAUAUAACAAAUUUUAUCAUAGUUGGCUUAAGAGCAGCCACCAAUUAAGAAAGCGUUUAAGCUCAAUCACCCAUAACCAAAGCAAUAUGCAACUAGUAAAAUAAAUCUCCCAAAAAUAUGACUGGGUUAAUCUAGUAGUAACUAGAUGCAAUAAUGUUGAUAUGAGUAAUAAGACUAAUUAGUCUCCUGGCACAAGUUUAUACCAGAACGGAUUUUCCACUGAUAGUUAACAUAUAUAUAUAUAAAUACAUAUUCAUACAACUAUAUAUCUUCAUAAUGUUGACCCAACACAGGAGUGCCAACAAGGAAAGAUUAAAAAAUGUAAAAGGAACUCGGCAAACACAAACCCCGCCUGUUUACCAAAAACAUCACCUCUAGCAUUAAAAGUAUUAGAGGCACCGCCUGCCCAGUGACAAGAGUUAAACGGCCGCGGUAUACUGACCGUGCAAAGGUAGCAUAAUCAUUUGUUCUCUAAUUAAGGACUUGUAUGAACGGCGUAACGAGGGUUUAACUGUCUCUUACAUUUGAUCAAUGAAAUUGACCUUUCCGUGAAGAGGCGGAAAUAAACUAAUAAGACGAGAAGACCCUAUGGAGCUUAAAUUAUUCACGACUCUAUAAUUUUAACAAAGGUAUCAGCAAGAGGUAACUAAUAAAUAUUUAAGAGUUAAAAAUUUUGGUUGGGGUGACCUCGGAGCAUAAUAAAACCUCCGAAAGACUUAUACACAGACCCACAAGUCAAUGUUAAUUCAAGUCUCAAUUGACCCAGUAAUCUGAUCAAUGGACCAAGUUACCCUAGGGAUAACAGCGCAAUCUUAUUGAAGAGUCCAUAUCGAUAAUAAGGUUUACGACCUCGAUGUUGGAUCAGGACAUCCUAAUGGUGCAGAAGCUAUUAAGGGUUCGUUUGUUCAACGAUUAAAGUCCUACGUGAUCUGAGUUCAGACCGGAGAAAUCCAGGUCGGUUUCUAUCUAUUUUAACGUUUUUCCCAGUACGAAAGGACCAGAAAAACAAGGCCUACUUAUAUAAAGCGCCUUAUUAAUAAACAUAUGACGUAUCAUCAAUAUGGAAAGCAGUUGCCAUGUUAAAUUCAAGAGCAGAACCA